GGUGAGGACUUGUGCUGAAUCAGGUGCAGGUGUGAGUGACUGGUGUUGAGGAAGGUGUGUCUGCUGUAGAUAGAAAUAAGGGAGGUGUGGCUGGUGUGUCUGCUGUAGGUAGAAAUAAGGGAGGUGUGGCUGGUGUGUCUGCUGUAGAAAUAAGGGGGUUUGGCUGGUGUGUCUGCUGUAGAAAUAAGGGAGGUGUGGCUGGUGUGUCUGCUGUAGAAAUAAGGGGGUUUGGCUGGUGUGUCUGCUGUAGAAAUAAGGGGGUGUGGCUGGUGUGUCUGCUGUAGAAAUAAGGGAGGUUUGACUGGUGUGUCUGCUGUAAAAAUAAGGGGGUGUGUGUCUGCUGUAGAGAAAUAAGGGAGGUGUGGCUGGUGUGUCUGCUGUAGAAAUAAGGGGGUUUGACUGGUGUGUCUGCUAUAGAAAUAAGGGGGUGUGUCUGCUGUAGAAAUAAGGGAGGUUUGACUGGUGUGUCUGCUGUAGAAAUAAGGGAGGUUUGGCUGGUGUGUCUGAUUGAAGAAAUAAGGGAGGUUUGGCUGGUGUGUCUGCUGUAGAAGUAAGGGAGGUUUGACUGGUGUGUCUGCUGUAGAAAUAAGGGAGGUUUGACUGGUGUGUCUGCUGUAGAAAUAAGGGAGGUUUGACUGGUGUGUCUGCUGUAGAAAUAAGUGAGGUUUGACUGGUGUGUCUGCUGUAGAAAUAAGGGAGGUUUUGCUGGUGUGUCUGAUUGUAGAAAUAACUAAUCAAAAGAUUUUCUUAACUAGGGAAGUGAGAUGUCUGUAAGUAAGGUACUAGUUGUUCAUAUGUUUUAAUUUAUAGGUGUUAUAACUUAUUAAAAAUUCCCUUGUGAUACCUAUGCAUUUACACAUUAAAGCCUAAUAUAGUCACUGAGAUUAAAGCAUUAACAUGGUAGCAAAGAACUGUACAGUACACAUAUAAUUAAUUUUUUUUUUGGCUGAAUAAUCACUAGAAAUAAUUCAUAUAAUACAGAACAGGACAGUGUGAUAACAAGCCCAUUUAACUGCUUCUUAACAUUAGGGAAGGUUGUAAGUUGUGCUUUGGUGGAGUUGAAAAAAAGGACGAGAAAUUUUUCACCAUAAUGCAGGAGCCUGAUUUUGUGUCCUUAUGUCAAGCUUUUCACUGAUGGAUUUAAUUGAUAUUAUUGUAGACCAUUUAGGAGUCCUGUGUCCUCUAGACUCUCAAUCAGGAUUUUUUUGUUAUAAUUUGGUAUACUGUACUGUGUAUCUGAAAUAUAUCCAGCAUAACAUAAUUUGAGAAUAAUGAUUUACACUUUACUGUACUGUAUAUUAUGAACAAUGAACAAUAAAUUAGUACAGUUUAUACAUGAUGUAAUUGACAAGUUCAGGUUUGGAGCAACAAAUUCCAUAUAUAAAUGUCUUUCUCUCUUUUUUCCCAUCUCUCUCUAUCUUUAUCACUGUCUCUCUCUCUCUCUUUGUAUCUAAUGUGUUUGUUUAAUUUAUCUCAUGCUCUACCCCAGACUAGUUUAGGAAGAAAACCCUUAAUGCCACAAUUACCAUAUAUAAGAGUAUCUGAACAGUCACGUAUAUAUAAACAAACCCCCCCUUUCUCUCUUCUCCUCCCUCUCCUCUAGGUCGUCCAGAUCACCGACACACCUCACUGAAAUGCACCUUUAUUCUUGCCAUACCAAAUUGCUUCUAUCCCCAACCUACUUCACUUGCCCAGAUUGUACAGGCAAUUUCCGAAUGUUUUUUCAUGAUUGGAACCCUUUUGUAAAUUGAGGGAUGAUUUUUAUAAGCAUGUUUGAACCACCUUCCCCCCUCUCUCUCUCUCUCUCUCUCUCUCUCUCCAUUGGUUCAUUUCAUUCCUAUUUUAUAACUUAUUCCAGUCUGCUAACUUACCAUGAUGCAUUUUGUAUAUAAUCUUGAAAGUGCUUUUUUCUACAUCAUCCUUUCCACUGUUGAUAGUGACUGAUACACCCUUGUUGCUCCUCCACACAGUGAUUGUUAGGACCCCACAGGUAUAGUCUCCUGCACUUAUACCUGGUACAGUGGCUUGUGCAUUUUGUGAGAUGUGGCAAUGCUGUGGAAUGAUUAUCUAGCAUCCUUAGUCUGGCUAAUAUUGUGAGGUUCCUUUGGGCCAUUCUGGAAGUUUUAAUAUGAUGUACAUAAGCUCAGUUGCCACAUCUAAAAAAAGCGCCAACUGCUGUAUUGUACCAGGUAAUAGUGCAGGUGAUUAUAUUAGGUACUAAAACAUAAUACAAAUUCAACUUGUGGAUUAUUUUUUAUCCUGAUUGAGUGAGUGGACACUGCGAGAUAUAAAUAGUAAUGUAGCUGCUUCAGUUGAAUAGAGAGGCCAAAGGUUCGACAAAAGCUCUAUGAAUAUUUUGUUGAGACUUUUAAAUCAUUAUUAUCUUGCUGUUACUCUUGAUAAUGCAUAGAUGUUGCUGCUGGUCAUAUACACAUUGUACACUUUAAUAUCUCUUGUGCUUAAUAACCGCUCAUUUCCACUAAGUUAUACUAACCAUAACCAGUCAGACAGUGAAUUCUUUAUCUUAUCAAUUCUAUAUGAAGUUAUUGUGGUUUGUAUAUAUGACAGGAUACUUAAAAAUAAUGUAAUUAUAUAAAAAAGAUUAAUUUGAAGUAGACAAUGGUGUGAUUAAUUUUUUCAAUAAAUUUUGUUGUUGUGUUCCAUUCCCCAUCUCUUUAUCUAUACAGUACAUGCUUUAUAAUAGCAUGAUCAGUAUCAUUAUGUAAGGAUUAUUUAACCCUCCCCAAUUGGCAAUUACCUGAAUUGCAUGUUAUAGUUGUUUCUACAUAAUUGUUAUUUGGUUCAAUCUUUCCUAAAUUUUUUCAGGUUGUGAUUGUUGCAUACAUGUCUGAAAUUAUACUUUGCAUGUGAUCAUGGAGCUGUAAUUUGCCAUCUGACAUUAAGAUUGGGAAGGCAUAGAGACCUUUUGCUUAUACUGUUGUAAGGUGACAUGGGGUGUGGCUCAGAGACCCAACACUGUUACACAAUACUUAGAUAAAGAGUGUUUGAUAAUGCUGAUACAUGACAUACUACUUUACUUAUUGGUGAUAAGUCUGAAUUUACUGGAAGUUUUCAUUCCAUUUUUGUCAUUAUUGUCCAUGACAUUGGGGAUAUGAGGAUUUUACCUGAUUGACUAGCAUGUCCACAGUAGAGCAGUUAAAUGAUGUAGUAUAUAGCAUGAGUUGAAAUAAGAACUGCUCAUGUAUUUCACGUUGUGUCAAAUAAUAUUAAAAGUUUUCCUACUAAUACUAACGCAGCUGCACAUUACCACAGUUUUUGGAAAGGGUUGUUUAAGUCAUUAGCAAGUCAUCAUAAUAAACUUAUUUUUCUCUCCUUGAUAACACUUGACUCACUGGAAGAGUGACCCCUCAAUAACAUACUGAUAUAUCUGGUGUGUGGUAAGUUGCAUUGGCUCGGCCUGGCACGUGUAGACUUCCUAUUCAUAUAACCUAGAAUUGUGCCGCUGUGUCAAGCUGGAGUAGAGUUUAUUUCCACACGUUUCUCAAGGGGGAAAAAUCAACCCGAAAUCCUGUGCAGUUGACAGAUCCAGAUUGUCACUUAAGGUUUAGUUUUUGUAUAUCCUUGCGUCAUCCCAGGGAUUUCGGCGACACAUUUUUUCCCGUAUAUGUGAAUGGAAAAUGAACUCUACUGCAUGAGCGCAGG